rnacentral:rRNA from 1 species
AUUGAACGCUGGCGGCAGGCCUAACACAUGCAAGUCGAGCGGAGCGGCAGACGGGUGAGUAAUGGCUAGGAAUAUGCCUGGUGGUGGGGGAUAACGUCCGGAAACGGGCGCUAAUACCGCAUACUAUCAGAUGAGACUAGGUCGUAUUAGCUAGUUGGUGGGGUAAAGGCCUACCAAGGCGACGAUCCGUAACUGGUCUGAGAGGAUGAUCAGUCACAUGGGAACUGAGACCGGGCCCAGACCCCUACGGGAGGCAGCAGUGGGGAAUAUUGGACAAUGGGCGAAAGCCUGAUCCAGCCAUGCGGCGUGUGUGAAGAAGGUCUUCGGAUUUUAAAGCACUUUAAGUUGGGAGGCGUUACCAACAGAAUAAGCACCGGCUAACUUCGUGCCAGCAGCCGCGGUAAUUC